rnacentral:rRNA from 1 species
CCUACGGGAGGCAGCAGUGAGGAAUAUUGGUCAAUGGACGAGAGUCUGAACCAGCCAAGUAGCGUGAAGGAUGACUGCCCUAUGGGUUGUAAACUUCUUUUAUAUGGGAAUAAAACGUUCCACGUGUGGGAUUUUGUAUGUACCAUCUGAAUAAGGAUCGGCUAACUCCGUGCCAGCAGCCGCGGUAAUACGGAGGAUCCGAGCGUUAUCCGGAUUUAUUGGGGUUAAAGGGAGCGUAGGUGGAUUGUUAAGUCAGUUGUGAAAGUUUGCGGCUCAACCGUAAAAUUGCAGUUGAAACUGGCAGUCUUGAGUACAGUAGAGGUGGGCGGAAUUCGUGGUGUAGCGGUGAAAUGCUUAGAUAUCACGAAGAACUCCGAUUGCGAAGGCAGUUCACUGGACUGCAACUGACACUGAGGCUCGAAAGUGUGGGUAUCAAACAGGAUUAGAUACCCCAGUAGUC